rnacentral:rRNA from 1 species
UACGUAGGGAGCAAGCGUUGUCCGGAUUUACUGGGUGUAAAGGGUGCGUAGGCGGCACUGCAAGUCAGGCGUGAAAGGCGGAGGCUUAACCUCCGAGUUGCGUUUGAAACUGUGGUGCUUGAGUGAAGUAGAGGUAGGCGGAAUUCCCGGUGUAGCGGUGAAAUGCGUAGAGAUCGGGAGGAACACCAGUGGCGAAGGCGGCCUACUGGGCUUUAACUGACGCUGAGGCACGAAAGCAUGGGUAGCAAACAGG